UUAGAUUCGUCUUUAACGAGU
rnacentral:siRNA from 1 species